rnacentral:rRNA from 1 species
ACUAAGCGUACACGGUGGAUGCCCUGGCAGUCAGAGGCGAUGAAGGACGUGCUAAUCUGCGAAAAGCGUCGGUAAGGUGAUAUGAACCGUUAUAACCGGCGAUGUCCGAAUGGGGAAACCCAGUGCAAUUCGUUGCACUAUCGUUAACUGAAUACAUAGGUUAACGAGGCGAACCGGGGGAACUGAAACAUCUAAGUACCCCGAGGAAAAGAAAUCAACCGAGAUUCCCCCAGUAGCGGCGAGCGAACGGGGAGCAGCCCAGAGUCUGAAUCAGCUUGUGUGUUAGUGGAACGGUCUGGAAAGUCCGACGGUACAGGGUGAUAGUCCCGUACACCAAAAUGCACAGGCUGUGAACUCGAAGAGUAGGGCGGGACACGUGGUAUCCUGUCUGAAUAUGGGGGGACCAUCCUCCAAGGCUAAAUACUCCUGACUGACCGAUAGUGAACCAGUACCGUGAGGGAAAGGCGAAAAGAACCCCGGCGAGGGGAGUGAAAAAGAACCUGAAACCGUGUACGUACAAGCAGUGGGAGCACCUUCGGGUGUGACUGCGUACCUUUUGUAUAAUGGGUCAGCGACUUAUAUUCUGUAGCAAGGUUAACCGUAUAGGGGAGCCGCAGGGAAACCGAGUCUUAACUGGGCGUUAAGUUGCAGGGUAUAGACCCGAAACCCGGUGAUCUAGCCAUGGGCAGGUUGAAGGUUGGGUAACACUAACUGGAGGACCGAACCGACUAAUGUUGAAAAAUUAGCGGAUGACUUGUGGCUGGGGGUGAAAGGCCAAUCAAACCGGGAGAUAGCUGGUUCUCCCCGAAAGCUAUUUAGGUAGCGCCUCGUGAACUCAUCUUCGGGGGUAGAGCACUGUUUCGGCUAGGGGGUCAUCCCGACUUACCAACCCGAUGCAAACUACGAAUACCGAAGAAUGUUAUCACGGGAGACACACGGCGGGUGCUAACGUCCGUCGUGAAGAGGGAAACAACCCAGACCGCCAGCUAAGGUCCCAAAGUCAUGGUUAAGUGGGAAACGAUGUGGGAAGGCACAGACAGCCAGGAUGUUGGCUUAGAAGCAGCCAUCAUUUAAAGAAAGCGUAAUAGCUCACUGGUCGAGUCGGCCUGCGCGGAAGAUGUAACGGGGCUAAACCAUGCACCGAAGCUGCGGCAGCGACACUAUGUGUUGUUGGGUAGGGGAGCGUUCUGUAAGCCUGCGAAGGUGACCUGUGAGGGUUGCUGGAGGUAUCAGAAGUGCGAAUGCUGACAUAAGUAACGAUAAAGCGGGUGAAAAGCCCGCUCGCCGGAAGACCAAGGGUUCCUGUCCAACGUUAAUCGGGGCAGGGUGAGUCGACCCCUAAGGCGAGGCCGAAAGGCGUAGUCGAUGGGAAACAGGUUAAUAUUCCUGUACUUGGUGUUACUGCGAAGGGGGGACGGAGAAGGCUAUGUUAGCCGGGCGACGGUUGUCCCGGUUUAAGCAUGUAGGCUGGUUGUCCAGGCAAAUCCGGAUAAUCAAGGCUGAGGUGUGAUGACGAGGCACUACGGUGCUGAAGUAACAAAUGCCCUGCUUCCAGGAAAAGCCUCUAAGCAUCAGGUAACAUUAAAUCGUACCCCAAACCGACACAGGUGGUCAGGUAGAGAAUACCAAGGCGCUUGAGAGAACUCGGGUGAAGGAACUAGGCAAAAUGGUGCCGUAACUUCGGGAGAAGGCACGCUGGUGUGUAGGUGAAGUCCCUGCGGAUGGAGCUGAGACCAGUCGAAGAUACCAGCUGGCUGCAACUGUUUAUUAAAAACACAGCACUGUGCAAACACGAAAGUGGACGUAUACGGUGUGACGCCUGCCCGGUGCCGGAAGGUUAAUUGAUGGGGUUAUCCGUAAGGAGAAGCUCUUGAUCGAAGCCCCGGUAAACGGCGGCCGUAACUAUAACGGUCCUAAGGUAGCGAAAUUCCUUGUCGGGUAAGUUCCGACCUGCACGAAUGGCGUAAUGAUGGCCAGGCUGUCUCCACCCGAGACUCAGUGAAAUUGAACUCGCUGUGAAGAUGCAGUGUACCCGCGGCAAGACGGAAAGACCCCGUGAACCUUUACUAUAGCUUGACACUGAACAUUGAGCCUUGAUGUGUAGGAUAGGUGGGAGGCUUUGAAGCGUGGACGCCAGUCUGCGUGGAGCCAACCUUGAAAUACCACCCUUUAAUGUUUGAUGUUCUAACGUUGGCCCCUGACCGGGGUUGCGGACAGUGUCUGGUGGGUAGUUUGACUGGGGCGGUCUCCUCCCAAAGCGUAACGGAGGAGCACGAAGGUUAGCUAAUCCUGGUCGGACAUCAGGAGGUUAGUGCAAUGGCAUAAGCUAGCUUGACUGCGAGCGUGACGGCGCGAGCAGGUGCGAAAGCAGGUCAUAGUGAUCCGGUGGUUCUGAAUGGAAGGGCCAUCGCUCAACGGAUAAAAGGUACUCCGGGGAUAACAGGCUGAUACCGCCCAAGAGUUCAUAUCGACGGCGGUGUUUGGCACCUCGAUGUCGGCUCAUCACAUCCUGGGGCUGAAGUAGGUCCCAAGGGUAUGGCUGUUCGCCAUUUAAAGUGGUACGCGAGCUGGGUUUAGAACGUCGUGAGACAGUUCGGUCCCUAUCUGCCGUGGGCGCUGGAGAAUUGAGGGGGGCUGCUCCUAGUACGAGAGGACCGGAGUGGACGCAUCACUGGUGUUCGGGUUGUCAUGCCAAUGGCACUGCCCGGUAGCUAAAUGCGGAAGAGAUAAGUGCUGAAAGCAUCUAAGCACGAAACUUGCCCCGAGAUGAGUUCUCCCUGAGACUUUAAGUCUCCUGAAGGAACGUUGAAGACGACGACGUUGAUAGGCCGGGUGUGUAAGCGCAGCGAUGCGUUGAGCUAACCGGUACUAAUGAACCGUGAGGCUUAACC